AGUCCAUGCAUUGGACAUUUCCAAAGUAAUUCUAUAAAUUGUUCCCAAGCUUCAUAUAGUGAUUCAUCCUCCGAUUGUCGAAAAGAUCUGAUGUCAUUUCUAAGCUU
rfam:Gossypium raimondii chromosome 3, whole genome shotgun sequence.